rnacentral:lncRNA from 1 species
AUGUUUGUUUCUAGGGAUCCAUAGGAUGAUUAUUUUCCUUUUCUCUUGUAUAUGAUUGACGAUGCUACACUUCUUUUCCCUGAUAUUAUUUGAUGAGAUAUUUCCAUAUGUGAUAAAAUGCUUAAUAUUUCACUUGUAUAUGAUUGACGAUGCUACACUUCUUUUCCCUGAUAUUAUUUGAUGAGAUAUUUCCAUAUGUGAUAAAAUGCUUAAUAUUUCCAGAAUUUGCAAA